UUUUUUUUUUUUUUUUUUGGGUAGUUAGGCCUGCAUUCAAUUAUAAUGAGCAAUACCUCUCAGUAGUACAUGAUUUUCAAAACUAUAGAUUUGGAAAUGGCACAGUUUGGUCAUGAAAAAUUAUAAAGCGCAACACUAAAUAUACCAACUAAAAUAUUAAUGAGUAUAUAAACUUUGUUCAAAAGACAUUGGUUUUAGACUCUCUCUGACCCUACUAGUCCAUAUUUGAAUUUUCGGUCCCAUAUGCUUGUAAUUAUAUUCUAGCACAAAGUAAUUAGCCAUAUUAUGCUUCAUUUGCACUUUCAAACCAGCUGUGCUUCCAUGUGAGCAGCCAUGAUACAAUUUAAAAACUAUUGUUAUGCCCCCAACUAAAAAAUCAACUUUUAGAUUGAAUAAUCACUAUCACUAUGUUUGGGAGUUCUUCUUGAAUAGGAAAAGAAAUGACAGUCCUUAAUGCAUGGAAUACGAGAGAACAGUACUACAGUUUCAAAGGAUAACUAAUAAUUUCUUAUCCUUUCUUUCCUAACCUCAUUAAACUCCCAAACAACAGAUAUCUAUUAUCUUUUUGCACUUUCCUUUCCUAUCCCUUCCUAUCGAUGCAUCCAAAUGAAGUGUAUAGAAAUAAAAGACAGAUGUUACAAUGUUACAUCCACUACAAGAGGGAAAGAAGGAAGGAGAUAGAUAACAUUGAUAAAAUCUCACACUUUAGCUUAAGAUAACAAUUAUGCAUGACUAUUGCAGUGGCAGAACACAAUUUGUGCCAUUGAAUCAUUGAAUAAUAUAACAAAGAGUUAAACAGCAGCACCAUCAAUAGAAAAUUCAUAUAAUCAGUAUGCAAGUAGCUUCACUGCUGUAUAAAUAGUAUUACAUAAAAAGAAGCAACAGUAACAAAAAUUACCUACCACUUUCAUAUAUAGUCACAGGCA
rnacentral:misc_RNA from 1 species